rnacentral:rRNA from 1 species
GAAUCUUCCGCAAUGGACGAAAGUCUGACGGAGCGACGCCGCGUGGUGGAUGAAGCGUUUCGGCGCGUAAACACCUUUUAUGAGGGAAGAAGUUUAUUGACAUUACCUCAUGAAUAAGGGGCUCCCAAUUCUGUGCCAGCAGGAGCGGUAAUACAGAAGCCCCAAGCAUUACCCGGAUUCACUGGGCGUAAAGGGUGCGUAGGCGGUUAUACUAGUCGGGUGUUAAAUUGUAGGGCUCAACCUUACAGCUGCAUCCGAAACGGUAUGACUAGAAGAAGUCAGAGGUAAGCAGAACUCUCGGUGUAGGGGUGAAAUCCGUUGAUAUCGAGGGGAAUACCAAAUGCGAAGGCAGCUUACUGGGACUUUCUUGACGCUGAGGCACGAAAGCGUGGGUAGCGAACGGG